rnacentral:rRNA from 1 species
GACGAACGCUGGCGGCGUGCCUAAUACAUGCAAGUAGAACGCUGAAGAGAGGAGCUUGCUCUUCUUGGAUGAGUUGCGAACGGGUGAGUAACGCGUAGGUAACCUGCCUUGUAGCGGGGGAUAACUAUUGGAAACGAUAGCUAAUACCGCAUAACAAUGGAUGACACAGGUCAUUUAUUUGAAAGGGGCAAUUGCUCCACUACAAGAUGGACCUGCGUUGUAUUAGCUAGUAGGUGAGGUAAUGGCUCACCUAGGCGACGAUACAUAGCCGACCUGAGAGGGUGAUCGGCCACACUGGGACUGAGACACGGCCCAGACUCCUACGGGAGGCAGCAGUAGGGAAUCUUCGGCAAUGGGGGCAACCCUGACCGAGCAACGCCGCGUGAGUGAAGAAGGUUUUCGGAUCGUAAAGCUCUGUUGUAAGUCAAGAACGGGUGUGAGAGUGGAAAGUUCACACUGUGACGGUAGCUUACCAGAAAGGGACGGCUAACUACGUG